GGCCUUGAACUCACAGUGAUCCUCCUGCCUCAGCCUCCCAAGUGCUGGGAUUAUAGGCCUGCGCUACCAUGCCCGGUGACAGGGAUAAAUAUGAAGGGACAAAAAGGCUGGAAGCAGAAGUCAGAAGCAGCACAGGAAGCAGAGUAGGAUUCAGACAGACGGAAGGAGAUACAAGAACCCUGGGCACAUCUGGGCAAGAAGUGGAGAAGUGAGGGCGAUCCCUCAGCACCAUCCCUGUCUACAAAACAAAUCAACCUACCGCUCCGCAUAUGCACACCAAGAAUGACACCGAAUCCUUGGAACACAGCCUAUCCUACAAGACUGUGCAAAUGUUCAAAGCUAGAUGCCGAGAAGCAAAGACUAUAAUGAAUAUUAGUAAUUCUCAAGCAGAAUAAAAAAGAGUGCAGCAGCAGUUACGGGUGUGGACCACUAUGCCCAGGGAAGAGCCGGAUGCUGCACUGUGCCCGAUCUGGUGACUAAGGCGGAUGAGGACACAAUGCAGUGAUUUUACCACCUUGCGUCUCUCUUGGAUGGUACACAGCAGCAGCACUCAUUAUAGCUUUGGUCCUACUUGUAAAGACACUGACAAAAGAGAACGUCCAGAACUGCUUUGGAAAGUGGCAAUAAGAAUGGGAUAAAUGUGUUUGAAACAAGGGGGAGGAUUUUGAGGAGGAUUAAUAGCAAUAUGCCUUUUACUGGAAUAAGUUUUAAUUUAACACAUACAUUUAAACAUACGUGUUCUUUGAUCAGCCUUAUAGUAUCUAUUUUGUCUGAUGUGGAAAUCAAUGACCAACUUGUUAUGAGAUUUUAAAUUUGUCUGAAUGAAUGCUCUGCAUAUAAAAUUUUACAUAAUUUCC